CCUACGGGAGGCAGCAGUGGGGAAUCUUGCGCAAUGGGCGAAAGCCUGACGCAGCAACGCCGCGUGCGGGAAGAAGGCUUUCGGGCUGUAAACCGCUUUCAGCAGGAACGAAAAUGACGGUACCUGCAGAAGAAGGAGCGGCCAACUAUGUGCCAGCAGCCGCGGUGAUACAUAGGCUUCAAGCGUUGUCCGGAUUUAUUGGGCGUAAAGAGUUCGUAGGCGGUCGAGUAAGUCGGGUGUGAAAAUUCUGGGCUCAACCCAGAGACGCCACCCGAUACUGCUUGACUUGAGUUCGAUAGGGGAGUGGGGAAUUCCUAGUGUAGCGGCGAAAUGCGCAGAUAUUAGGAGGAACACCGGUGGCGAAGGCGCCACUCUGGAUCGAUACUGACGCUGAGGAACGAAAGCAUGGGUAGCAAACAGGAUUAGAUACCCUGGUAGUCCAUGCCGUAAACGGUGGGCACUAGGUGUGGGUUUCUAUUAACGAAAUCCGCGCCGUCGCUAACGCAUUAAGUGCCCCGCCUGGGGAGUACGGUCGCAAGACUAGAACUCAAAGGAAUUGACGGNGNGAGACGNGCGAGCGACACGAGGAGAG
rnacentral:rRNA from 1 species